rnacentral:rRNA from 1 species
UUUUUUAAUUGAGGACUGGAAUGAAAGGUAGUAACUAUAGGGAAAGUUUUUAAAAGUAAUUUUUGAAGUUGAUUUAAAAGUAAAAAAGCUUUUAUUAAUCUUAGGGACGAGAAGACCCUAGAAGUUAUUUAAUCUAAGUGAUUUUUAAUUGGGGUAAUUAAAUGAAGAUAAAGAUUUUUAUUUAAAUAAAUGAAAAAUGAAAAAUUACUCUAGGGAUAACAGCGUUAUUUAAUUAGUGAGUUCUUAUUAAAAAUUAAGUUUGCGACCUCGAUGUUGAAUUAAAUUUAUUAAUUGGUGAAGAAGCUAACGGAAUUAGUCUGUUCGACUAUUAAAAGUUUACGUGAUCUGAGU